CGGCGAGUGAAGCGGCAACAGCUCAAAUUUGAAAUCUGGCGCAAGCCCGAGUUGUAAUUUGUAGAGGAUGCUUCGGCGUCGGCCCCGUUCUAAGUUCCUUGGAACAGGACGUCCUAGAGGGUGAGAACCCCGUCUUCGAUCGGGUCGCCGUCGCCAUGUGAAGCUCCUUCGACGAGUCGAGUUGUUUGGGAAUGCAGCUCUAAGCGGGAGGUAAAUUUCUUCUAAAGCUAAAUAACGGCCAGAGACCGAUAGCGCACAAGUAGAGUGAUCGAAAGAUGAAAAGCACUUUGGAAAGAGAGUUAAAAAGUACGUGAAAUUGUUGAAAGGGAAGCUCAAGCUGCCAGACUUGGCCGCGCCUCUUCGGUGGCGCGGGCAGGCCAGCAUCAGUUCGGGCGGCCUGAUAAAGACCUUUGGAAUGUAGCUCCCUCGGGAGUGUUAUAGCCUUGGGUGUAAUGGGGUCAGCCUGGACUGAGGAUCGCGUUCGCUAGGAUGCUGGCGUAAUGGCAGUUUGCGACCCGUCUUGAAACACGGACCAAGGAGUCUAACAUCUGUGCGAGUGUUUGGGUGUAAAACCCAUGCGCGUAAUGAAAGUGAACGGAGGUGGGAAGCGCAAGCUGCACCAUCGACCGAUCCUGAUGUCUUCGGAUGGAUUUGAGUAAGAGCAUAGCUGUUGGGACCCGAAAGAUGGUGAACUAUGCCUGAAUAGGGUGAAGCCAGAGGAAACUCUGGUGGAGGCUCGCAGCGGUUCUGACGUGCAAAUCGAUCGUCAAAUUUGGGUAUAGGGGCGAAAGACUAAUCGA
rnacentral:rRNA from 1 species